AGCCUUAAUUGAUAGUACCUAUACUACUGGUGGUGGUGGUACUAGCUGUUGUUGUUGUAGGUAGUAUUACAUUUGAUAACAAACCAAGAAGCUCACAGUUUUACAGACGUACAUCACAUAAAUCGGUCGUGUUCUUAACGUCGGAAGCAUCGGUGGCAUAUGGACGUUUCCAGGCAACGCUGCAUAUUGCAUGACAAAAUAUGCUAUCGAAUGUUUCACGGAUUCACUGCGUUAUGAGAUGUAUCCAUGGGGUGUUAAGGUAUCCCUUAUUAAACCGGGCCAGUAUGGUAAGGCAACUAACAUAGGCAUUAACUACAUCGAUCGUACGUCUGAUGAAAUAUGGUAUAAUGUAGAUGAAGACGAAAGACUACGGCAAAGAACAUUUUGACGCAUUUUCCAAGUUUUAUGAGGUAGCUCGUGACAUGUGUUAUGGAGACGAGACAUCUGUGGGGAACAGUAUGGUGAAUAGUACAACGUCACAAAAACCACGAAAUCGCUAUCUUGUUGGUGGUUGGUACAUGACUUAUUUUGAAGCCUUUUGGAUGAAAAUGCUUCCAUCGUGGCUAGGUGAUCGCCAGUUCAAUCGGUUGAUGGAGCGAUAUUUACCACUUCCAGCCCUCGUCCAAUCAAAAGGAUCCUAAGUAAUCACGUAAUAUUUAUCGUAAUGUUUUUGGUUUAUUUGUUUGACAAAAUAUACAUUCAGGACUAUAAAAUUUUAUUUGAAAAAAAAAACAACAUGUGGUUAGGCGAUCGUUAGUUUAAUCAGUGUAUAAUUUACCACUUCCAGCACUUGUCCAAUCAAAAGGAUCCGAAUUAACCACGUGACAUAUAUUUUAAAGUUUUUAUGUAUACAAAAAUAUAUCGUAGAAAAUUAUAUCCUUGUCCA